AGAAAACAAUAGUGAUUCCCAAAGUAGCGGCGAGCGAAAUGGGAACAGCCCAAACCAGUGUUGUUUCGGCAAUACUGGGGUUGUAGGACUGCGAUAUCUUAACAAAAAUGAACGAGAAUGAUCUGGGAAGAUCAGCCAUAGAAGGUGAAAGCCCUGUAUUGGUAAGUUUUUGAGCGGUAGCAGUAUCCUGAGUAGGGCGGGGCAGGUGAAACCCCGUUCGAAUCUACCGGCACCAUCCGGUAAGGCUAAAUACUCCUGAGAGACCGAUAGUGAACCAGUACCGUGAGGGAAAGGUGAAAAGCACCCCGAGAGGGGAGUGAAAUAGUACCUGAAACCGUGUGCCUACAAUCCGUCAGAGCUGGGCUUUGUGUCUGGUGAUGGCGUGCCUUUUGAAGAAUGAGCCUGCGAGUUUGCGUUGUGUUGCGAGGUUAACCCGUGUGGGGAAGCCGUAGCGAAAGCGAGUCCUAAUAGGGCGUUUGAGUAGCGCGAUCAAGACCCGAAGCGGAGUGAUCUAUCCAUGGGCAGGUUGAAGCGUCGGUAAGACGACGUGGAGGACCGAACCCACUUAGGUUGAAAACUGAGGGGAUGACCUGUGGAUAGGGGUGAAAGGCCAAUCAAACUCGGAGAUAGCUGGUUCUCUGCGAAAUCUAUUUAGGUAGAGCGUCAUCCGAAUACCCUCGGGGGUAGAGCACUGGAUGGGUAAUGGGGACUCACCGUCUUACUGAUCCUAACCAAACUCCGAAUACCGAGGAGUACUAGAUGGCAGACACACGGCGAAUGCUAACGUCCGUCGUGAAGAGGGAAACAACCCAGACCGCCAGCUAAGGUCCCAAAGUCAUAGUUAAGUGGGAAACGAUGUGGAAAGGCCCAGACAGCCAGGAGGUUGGCUUAGAAGCAGCCAUCCUUUAAAGAA
rnacentral:rRNA from 14 species